AGUGAACGCUGGCGGUAGGCCUAACACAUGCAAGUCGAACGGCAGCACAGUAAGAGCUUGCUCUUACGGGUGGCGAGUGGCGGACGGGUGAGGCAUACAUCGGAAUCUACUUUUUCGUGGGGGAUAACGUAGGGAAACUUACGCUAAUACCGCAUACGACCUACGGGUGAAAGCAGGGGAUCUUCGCACCUUGCGCGAUUGAAUGAGCCGAUGUCGGAUUAGCUAGUUGGCGGGGUAAAGGCCCACCAAGGCGACGAUCCGUAGCUGGUCUGAGAGGAUGAUCAGCCACACUGGAACUGAGACACGGUCCAGACUCCUACGGGAGGCAGCAGUGGGGAAUAUUGGACAAUGGGCGCAAGCCUGAUCCAGCCAUACCGCGUGGGUGAAGAAGGCCUUCGGGUUGUAAAACCCUUUUGUUGGGAAAGAAAAGCAGCAGGUUAAUACCCCGCUGUUCUGACGGUACCCAAAGAAUAAGCACCGGCUAACUUCGUG
rnacentral:rRNA from 1 species